CAUGCUACGGAGUAGACGUCCUCCUCUUCUCUGCGCACUCGCCUCCCUCUCCGGGGAGCCGCCGCGGCGGAGGCGGAACGGAAUCGCACGGCGGCAGCGCCGGGAGCGGCUGCAGAGGGCACGGCCGGAGGGACCGGGGGUCGGCUCAGCCCUGCCCCGCCGCGUGGGGAGCGAAGCCGCAGCCGCGGACACCCCGCGACGCGCGCAGCCCGGGCGCCUGGGAGCCGAAGCGGUCGCCUCCCCGGCAGGUUUCCUGUUCCUUUCCGAAGUUUGCUCUCCAACACCUUUGCUCCUCCUCCUGCGUCCUCCUGGCCCCCUCCCUUCUCUGCGCCCCGCCGCCGCCGGCCCUGCCACCGGGACGCUGGGGGUGGCCGCCGAGCCUCCUGGUGCCCUCGGGGGAAUUUUUGGACCAGGUACAUGGCGUUCGUGCAACUUGACCUGUCAGCAGACGCCCAGGUGGAGGCAGCCUCGGGGGAGGGAAGCGUCACUUGGCCACCCAUUUUUAUAGCCAACCGCUGGCGGUAAAGCUUCUCUGAAGCCUCCAAGACUGCGCCCCCUGCUGUGAACUAGGAGCCCAGAGCCCAGGUUUAACCUUGCACCCCCAGGAACCCACUGUCACUGCGUCCAUGGCGGUCUUCAUUUGCUGACUUUUAAAGCUGCCGGCUCUUGGGAAGGACAAAUACCAUACCAUAUGAUUUCACUUGUAUGCGGAAUCUAAAGAACAAAAUAAACAAAACUGAAUCAGA